GGUGAUAAUGUGAGACCCUGGAACGUACACUGGACACAGCACCAAGUGAUGCGGUGGCAGCGUUUCCUUGCCUGCCUGCCUUCUGGGAACAGC
ensembl:snoRNA Gm22077 predicted gene, 22077